GAUUAUCGUAGCUCAUGGGAGUUGCUCCCUCAUCAACAGUUUUAUCCCCAAGCCAUUCUCUAUCUCUACUCUUCAUAGAACUCCUAUAGGAUUAUACAACAUUUAAAUUAAAACUUUCGCAAGUUGAAAUACAGAAAGGUAGCUAUUUAAAACUUUUGAGUUUACUACAAGACCUAUCAAAUUCUGAAUCUUCCUCCAAAUGUCUAUCCAACCAACGAAUGCUUCCUGUGUGAGCUGAUAUCAGAGAUCCAAUGAUAUGAAGUAUUUCCUCAUCAAAACUGCAAUAAAAGAAUCAGUGUAAAAAACCAUGUGAUGAACAUGUCAUUAACCACCGCACCUUCCCUUUCUCCGAGGGAAAAAUAAAAACACAAGAAAUCAGAACUUCAAAUAAGUUGUAAAUCUCCAAUACAUAUCAACUUGACUUGAUGAACCACAAUGAAGCAUUAUUGAGUGGAAAAGCAUGCAGAACCAAGGUAUAAAGAAGCAACAAGAUUAUAUGAUCCACUGGUUCGUAAUGGAUUAAAAAUUAAACAAAGGAAAUCACAAAAGUACGAGGCAAGAUAUCAAUAGGCAUAAUGUAAAUCUAGAUUAUAAAUAUAUAUUAUCAAUGAGCAGGGCAAAUAAACUUCUCCGCAAUCUCAAUUUACAAUUUUAGAUGGUAGAAGAAAAUAACCCUAGUAACCAUAACGAAUACCAUUUCUCUCCAGCUUACAAUUAACUAUUGAUGGUAACCAGAACAGUACAACAAUGAAAAACAUAUUCCAUUCCUAAAAUUAAAAGGAUAGUUUCUUUUGAAAGGAAAUUGUCACCUCUUGACUAAAAAUCGGAUCAUGGUUCCAACCUUUAUGACAUGUCGCUUGUGAGAUUUGCUGGCAAAUAGUUCCUCUUUGUCUUUCUAUGAUACAAUAAGACACUAAAGUUACUACAGUAAUACAUGUAGUCUCUUGCCAUAUACACAUACCCAACACACAAAGAAAUUAAUAAAAUUAAGAACAAGGUAGAAAAGUGUUACGGUUCUAUAUUUAAAUUCUCCACGAAUGUUUUCAGCUGUUAUGAUGGCAGACGAGAAACCGAGAACAAUAACAUGAAUAGAUUCUUGAGAAAGCUUCACUACCUUCCCCUCUGAAUGUGGCAAAGAAAAUUAGUUUAGACAACAUCUUAGGCAUGCAGAUCCAUAAAUACAUACCGGCAGUGUGAUAUCCACUACAAGAAAAAAAAAAAAAAAAACUAAAUAAAUAACCUGAAAUAUCAUGAAAAAAUGGUACCUAAGAGCAUAUCUGGCUUUGGUGAAAAAAGUAGGAGAUUUGCUUUUAGUCUAAGACCAAAAUAAGGAUGAACACCAGAAAGAAUUUUCGCCUGUUUAUCCAGAAUAUUGACAUCAUAGGCCAAUAAAACACCAUCAAAUGUUUCAUUAAACCUGCAAGAACAGAAUCACUUCAUAUUAUAACAGGACAAAAGGAAGCAAAUAUUCACACAUCAUUUCAUUCUUAUAAUCAACAUUACAAGUGAAGUGCAUCAUUACAAAACCUAUUGAUUUAGUAUUGAUCCCAACGGAGUCAAAAGAAUCACGCUACUAGAUCCAGACAUUGCAGUUAAAUUCAGCCUGUUUAAAAGCUUAUAUUCUCAACAGUAAUAAACUUCUCCAUUUGUUUAAAAAGAGCCACAGUAUCAUUAGCUUCAUCAUCAGAAGUUAAAUUUUCAGCUAAACUAGAAAACAGACCAAACUAAAUUAAGGUAUACUUUAUUUAAAUCAAAAGCAAUAUCAACACAAAACAGCUUUUGGUGAAGAAAAAAUAAUAAACAAAAACAGGAGUUUUGAGUUAUAUGAAAAAUUAAAUUUAAGUGAAAGUAAAAGAACUAACUUGAAUAGCAAAGAGCCAAGCUCACGGAGAAUCGACUGGGACACGUUCCUACUCUUUGAUGGGUGUAAAUACAUCAACAAAUUAGCAUCUGCUACGCUUAAUCCUUCCAUUUGAAGCUGCAGUAAAUAUCCAAAAUUAAUAGCAAGUCAGAGUUUCAAAUAGCGGUGAUGCAGCCGCUAAUUCACAGUGGCGACCGCAAAUCCGCUAUUGACACUAAACUGAUAGCUUUAAAAAAAAUUCUCCUUCUCAAUGAAGUAAACAGACGGAAUAACGAGCAGUAGGAUAGAAAACAAAAAAUAAAAUAUAGCAGCAGAGACAGAGAUCAGAUAAUUAAAAAUCUCUUUACUCAAAAUCUUCAAAUUAGGUUUAGGGUUUGAAAAACUACCUUAAUAAAUUUCCUAGUCUGUUGGAAACUUGAACGCGACAAGAGAAAGAGGAGGCUGGGACAGAAUGGUGGUGAGAGGCUUGUCUGGCGGCGGGAUAGUUAACGAGACAAGAGUUAGUUCGAAAUUUUUAAAGGAAUUUUUAAAAUAUAUAUAUAUACACAAAUAUGUGCCAUUAGAGUCACUGAUCAUAAAUAAGUUAGUUUCAUACUCAUAAAAAUAUAUAUAUAUAUUCUGGAACGAACUGUUCUUGAUGUACCUAAAGUACUGCAAAUAAGGUCCCAAAAAUGACAAUAAAACAUCAAAAAAUGUUGAACCUAAAGUAGUGUUUUUAAUGUGGAACAAACAUAUAAGUGUCUACAUAUCAAACAUUUAAUACAACUGGUCUCGCAUUAUAAAUUCAGUAAACUCUUUGCUUUACAUUUAAAGGAAUAAUCACUGCAACAUCUGGUCUCCAACAAUAUAUUCAAUCUCCAUACAACCCAUCCAAACCUCCAAAAAACCAAAUUUACAUGCAUAUACAAUCUCAUAGUGCAUUGCAUAUAAUUUGAUAUCAACAACAGAUUCGGACAGCUGAACUUAACGAAGAAAAUCAGCACAAAUGACAGUGCAUUGGAUAGUAAAUUUGACACUUUACUCUCAAUUAAUUUAGUAGCAUAACAUAUGUUACAAUUACAGUUUGACUUAUUCAACUUUAAAACAGGGGCCAAGUUUAACAUUUAACCACUAAUAUUUUAUUUGCCUUUAACACCAAAGCAGCAGACCGGUUAUACAAGUCGCAUGCUGAAACAAAAUACACUCAGCAGUCAACCUGUGCAUAUACUUCUCACAUUUACAUCUCUUCUAACAGCAACAUUUCGGUAAAAUAAAAAUAAAAAUCAGCAUGUAUUUUUAACUCCUAAAUUUAUAAUUUUAACAGUCCAUUUGCCGAGCCACACCUGCAUGAAAUAUUUAUAUUUCAAACAUAAUAAUUUUACACGUUAACUUUGAAGAACUUACUAAAAUUUCUCCAAGUUGAGCUAUCUAGCCGAUCGACUUGCUCCUUCCCCUUUCUCGCCAAUGCUUCCUCCCACCUAUUUAGCUACAAACCAAACCAUAUUUACAAGGUAAGAACAAUACAAAAACCGUGCAUGGCUUUGCAUGCAAGGGAUAACUUCACAUAACCGAUGCAUGCAUUAAAAGAAUUCAAGAAGUAGCAUUUUCCUUAGCCAUCACCAGCCAUUCGGCCAAAAUUAGCUCAACUCCAUGAAUUUUCCGAUGCCAAACACUUAACCGGUCCUGUAUGUCCGGUUAGAACCGAAAGACAUGUAUGAAUGUUACCAUCCCUACGCCAAACACAUAUAGUUUUAUCAGCUGAGCCACUAAACACCAAAUUCCCAGCUCCUUCAAGACAAAGAACAGCUAAUUUAUGUCCUUUAAGUACACCACCAUGCGCUAAUCCUUUCUCAAGUUCCCAAAAAUUAACAAGGCCAUCACUGGAACCACAAUAUAAAACCGAACCAGGUGCACCAAUUGCUAAUGAUGUAACAGCACAUUCUUGUUGUAACAAUGUUUGGUUCAAACUAUGUUUCGUCCCUUUAAGUUGUUGUUCCCUUUUCCAUACUUUAACCGUCCCGUCGGCCGAACCGGUGAAAACCAUCUCCCUGCUGGACCUCGAUACUACUGAAUUCACCGUGUCGUCGUGUGCGUUAACCGAUUCGAGACAUUUCUAAUCAGAAAUCCUCCAUACUUUAAAUGUUCUAUCCCAUGAAGCUGAAUAAAGAAGACCAUGUUCUUCAUUUAAACUCAAACAUGACACAGCAUCUGAAUGCUUGAUCCAUAAAGAUCUUUUGCGUUUCACUUCAAUGUAAUUACUUGGUUUAAUUGAACUUUUGAGGAUUUCUUUCAAAGAUGGUAAUGUACCAGCUCGUUUAUGAACACCAGGGUUCUUAACAGAUACUUUCCAUACACGAAUUUUACCAUCUUGAUGACCAGUAAAAAUCUUUGCACCUGAUAUAACAAUGGUUUUAACCAAUCCACUAUUUGAUUUGAAACCCAAACAUCUCCAAAACCCCGAAAAGAGAGAGAAGCACAACAAUCUAAGAUUACCAAUGUCAGCAUGCUAAAGUCUAGGGUUCAAAAGAACAACUAAAUGAGAGUACCUUGAUUUGUUGGACUCGCAAAAGCUAGCCUUCAGUCGGGUUUGAUUUCGACAUGAAAUCCCUUAAUUUUCCGCUUGCUGCAAAAAUAAAACAGAAGUGUAACCCACAUAAAAAAUAAUAGAAAUGAAAUCGAAAUGAAACAAGGAGCUUCGGGUUUGAUUAGAAAUCGAAAUGAAAUGAAACCUGUCGAACCAAAAGAGAAAGGGAGACGGCAAAUGGGUUUGAUUUGGGGAAAAUUUAGGGUUUAGGGGAAAUUUUGAUUUGGGGGAAAAUAAGGGUUUCGGGUUUGUAUUGGGGUGAAAUGGUUGAAACAAAAACGGCGCCGUUUUGUUAAACAUAAUGACGUCACCAAAUAUUUCCCUUUUGUCCCUCCACUUCUUUUAUUUCGAAUUUACCCCAGAUAUCUUGUUUUAAUUCGAUUUAGUCCUUUUUGUUAUUAUUAUUAUUAUUAUUACCCUACUGUUAUUAUUAUUAUUUUUAUUACUAUUUUCUUUUUAUUAUCACUAUCAUUAUUAGCAUAUUAUUAUCAUUAUCUUUGUUAGUAUUUUUCUUAUUAACAACAUAUUAUUAUUAUUAUUACUAAUGUAUUUUUUUAUUAGUAUUAUAUUUUCAUUAUUACGUUAUUCAAAAUGAAUAAAUAUUAUUACUAUUAUUAUUAUCGUUACUAUUAUAUUAUUAGCAAAUUAUUAUUAUUUUAUUUUUUUUAUUAUCCUUAUUAACACAUUUUUACUUUUGUCAUUAUUAUUAUUAUUUUACUAUUUAUAUAUUACUUAUUUAUUUAUCGGUUUACUAUUAAGUUUCUUUUUUUAUUUAUUCUUAUUAUUCUUAUUUAUUUUCAUUUUUAUCUUUUUAUUAUUUUUACCUAUUAUUUUCCUUUUAAGUUACAUAGCUUGUUUGUUUUAUUUCUUUUAUUUUUGUCAUUCAUACUACUCAUUUAUUAUUAUUUCGUGAUGCUUGUUACUAGAGGUGUGCAUGGGCCGGGCUACCCGGCCCGACCCUAAGGCCUGCCCGAAAAAUUAGAGGGUUCGAGUAAAAAUAUAGGCCCGAAAUAUGGGUUUGGGCAAAAAAAGAAGCCCGUUUAGAAAAUGGGUCGGGCUCGAGUAAAACUUUUUUGGCCGGGUCCGGCCCGGCCCGGCCCGAAUUAUAUACUAAAUAUUUUUUUUUAUUUUUAAUCAUAUUUACAUUUUAAUUUUAAUUUUAAUAUAAACAUUUUUUAUUAUAUUUUCAAUUUGUCUAUUGUUUUAAGAAUUGUUUUAAUAUAUUUUUUAUUUGUUUCUUGUUUUAAUAUUUGUUUUAAAUGUAUUUGAUGAUUUAAUAUAUUUUAAAUUUUUUAUUUAAUGAAAUAAGUUAAAAAAAUUAAUAUGGGCCGGGUCGAGCCAGGCUCAGGCUUAACAAUUUUAUUCUGGGUCAGGCUUGGACAAAUUUUUAGGCCCAUUUUCAGGACGGGCCUAAAAUUUUGUCUAGGCCCGACUCGAACCCGGCUCAGCCCAUGCACACCUCUACUUGUUACUAUCAUGAUUUAUUUCUUUUUGUUUUUACAAAUUUGUGUUAUAUUAUCCUUUAUCCGACAAAAAUAAUUCUUUCAUAAAAGCAAUAUUUCGUAUUUGAAAAUUCGAGAAAAUUGUGCCUUAACUUACUGGGUUUCGACUUUUCUCAUUUAACCUAAAUAACGGAAUAUUCUUUUAAAAUUGCAAUACGAGUUUUGAAUAAAAUGCUUAUUCUCGGAGAUUCAAGGUGUUGUGCCCUAACUUACUAGAUAUGACAUAUUGUUACCUCGAGAUAAGAUUUUUUUUUGUAAAUAAAGGCAAUAUUCAAUAUUUAGAAGUUCAAAAAAUCGUGCCCUAACUUAUUGGAUUUCGAUUUUUCUCGCUACCCUAUAUAACUGAAUAUCCUUUUAAAAAAGGUUAAAAUACACGAAUUUUAAAUAAAAUGCAAGCUCGAACUCAAAGUUUCAAAAUAAGCAAAAGGUAAAUUCUCUGUUCUUUCGUAGUGUUGCUGGCUAAUUAGAUAAUUGUAGCAAAAGUUCAUGAGAAUCCACCAUAAAUCCCAAGUUCAAACUCCCUGCCAGUUGAAUUCUUUUCUUUUUCCAAAUUAAAAACAUGAAUUCCCCUAAAUAAGAAAGGAGAAGCAUUGGCAGGCAUAGUUCUAGAAAUUGGUUCAAUGCAACACAGACAUACGCAGCCGGAAAAUAUGCAAAACUGUUUCACCAAUGAACAUAAUAAAUGAAUCAUGGAUGUUCCUGUACUAAAAGUCAAACUCCAUUUUGCUCCCUUUACUAAAAAAUGGACACUUAGUCCAUUUACAUUAAAUCAAUGAAUAAACUCGUCCUUUCUGUUAAAAAUUCAUCUAUUUAUGCUAUUAAAAAACUGAAGUAACUGACGAAAGAACCAAAUAAUUACACAUGACAUGCCCAAUCUUAAACAGUAAAAAUGAACAAAAUUUUUAACAAAAAUGAUCAAUUCGCUUUUAGAUCUAACCUACAGGGAUUAAUUUAUCCAUUUUUUUAAUAGCGCGUAAAAUGCAAUUAGACUUCUUUUACCUAGUAAAUAUUGGCGUAAAACGAAAGUGCACAAAAGAUGACGUGAAGCCAUCAUCAGACAAGGGGGCAAAGCAUUUCCUUUGGCUAAAUUCGAUGUUAACAUAUUAUAGAUAAGACCAAGUCUGUACUUGUACAACGUACAAAAAUGUCACUCAACAUACAUCAUUAGGAAACAAAAAUUGCCUACUUCACAGGAGAAAAAAAUUGCAAUCUCUUUUAUCGACUUGGGAAUCUGGAAUUUUCAAUUUUGGUCACAUACAAAACAACGACCACAAAAAUUGAAGGGAAGAUUUCAAAAUUUUAGCAAGCUUCAACAGAAGAACAAUUCCUUACCGAAGCAAUCACCAGAAGCAAUAUACCUUCAUCUACAUGGACCUUCAGCCCACCACUCCCCACUACCUGUGCUAGCACAUAUUUUGCAAUACACUUGUAAUUAUAAGCGAUUAAUGUAUAAGACUAAAGUAGGCAAAAAAAUUAACAUCAAAAGGCUCUUAUACAAGAUGCAAGAAAAGCAAAUAGAUGAACAUAAACUAAAACAGGUAUUAUGUUUUAUGCAUAACUCAUCAAUACUACCAACAGUUCACAAGUUUGAUUACUCUAACAAAGGAUAUAAAACUUAUUUAGGAGAAGAAGACUUCAACACUGAUAAAAGAUUAGAAGUACUCAUGGUGAGCACAAGAAUUGGUCAAUGAAUUACCUGGCAACAAGAAAUCUCCUAAUAUAAUUAGUAAUUUGAAGCAAUCAUCACCAUCAUUUUGUGAUUCUACGCUUUUUGGACAUUUUAAUAUGAUUAUCGUAGCUCAUGGAAGUUGCUCCCUCAUCAACAAUUUUAUCCCCAAGCCAUUCUCUAUCUCCACUCUUCGUAGAACUCCUAUAGGAUUAUACAACAUUUAAAUUAAAACUUUCGCCAGUUGAAAUACAGAAAGGUUGCUAUAUAAAACUUUUGAGUUUACUAAAAGACCUAUCAAAUUCUGAAUCUUCCUCCAAAUGUCUAUCCAACCAACGAAUGCUUCCUGCGUGAGUUGAUAUCAGAGAUCCAAUGAUAUGAAGUAUUUCCUCAUCAAAACUGCAAUAAAAGAAUCAGUGUAAAAAACCAUGUGAUGAACAUGUCAUUAACCACCGCACAUUCCCUUUCUCC
rnacentral:lncRNA from 1 species